rnacentral:misc_RNA from 1 species
UAGAAGCCUAAAUUCUGAUAUUUCCCUUUCUCAUUUUAAGGUAAAUAGAGUUCUUAAAAGUUGCGAAAAAUCAAGAACUAUUGUGCAUUUAUGGGGCCUGUAUCCUAAGCUGAGCUGUAGAAGAAUGGCCAAGUCCAAGAAGAAAUCGAAGAAGUCAACCAAGAAUCCAUGUCUCCUUGAUACAGAUAGUGAGAUCAAAACCAAGAAUAAGAAUAGAACCAAGAAUCCAUAUCUUCUUGCUAUAGAUAAUGAGAUCAGCCGAAUGAACAAGCUGAUUCGCACCAAGCCUAAAUUUUCUUCUCUUCUCUCACCACACAAGGAAGCCACCGUGACGCUCCAGCUUGUUAAAGAUCUCAGUUUGACUUUCGAUGGAACAGAUGAUGAAGUUAUUGAGUUUUUAGCUUAGCAAAUCUCAGAUAAUAGGCAGCUUUUCAAUGAGUCAAUUUGAUUAAUUUUCGACUUUGUGGCUCUUGGCUUCUGCGUUUUUUUUUUUUUUUUA